GGUUGAUCCUGCCAGUAGUCAUACGCUUGUCUCAAGGAUUAAGCCAUGCAUGUCUAAGUAUAAAGGAUUUAUAAUGAAACUGCAAAUGGCUCAUUCAAACAGUUAUAGUUUAUUUGAUAUUCAAGCUAAUAUUCUUAUUAGUUAAAUGGAUAACCGUAGUAAUUCUAGAGCUAAUACAUGCGUUACGGGGAACUUUACGGGACCCCAGCGUUUAUUAGAUUUAAACCAAUAUUCCGCAAGGUCUACUGAGAUGAUUCAUGAUAACUGAUCGAAUUGCUGGAACUCUAGCAAUA
rnacentral:rRNA from 1 species